UACGUAGGGACCAAGCGUUGUUCGGAUUUACUGGGCGUAAAGGGCGCGUAGGCGGCGAUUCAAGUCAUCUGUGAAAUCUCCGGGCUUAACCCGGAACGGGCAGAUGAUACUGCUUUGCUAGAGUGCGGAAGGGGCAAUCGGAAUUCUUGGUGUAGCGGUGAAAUGCGUAGAUAUCGCGUGGAACGCCAACGGCGAAAACAGGUUGCUGGGGGUGUGCUGACGCUGAGACACGAAAGCCAGGGGAGCGAACGGG
rnacentral:rRNA from 1 species